GCCAGUGUGGCGUAGUGGUUUGAGCAUUGGACUAUGACUCUGGAGACCAGGGUUCAAAUCUCUCCAUGUA